rnacentral:rRNA from 1 species
GACGAACGCUGGCGGCGUGCCUAACACAUGCAAGUCGAGCGAGUGGAUUUCCUUCGGGAAUGAAGCUAGCGGCGGACGGGUGAGUAACACGUGGGCAACCUACCUCAUAGAGGGGAAUAGCCUCCCGAAAGGGAGAUUAAUACCGCAUAAGAUUGUAGCUUCGCAUGAAGUAGCAAUUAAAGGAGUAAUCCGCUAUGAGAUGGGCCCGCGGCGCAUUAGCUAGUUGGUGAGGUAACGGCUCACCAAGGCGACGAUGCGUAGCCGACCUGAGAGGGUGAGCGGCCACAUUGGGACUGAGACACGGCCCAGACUCCUACGGGAGGCAGCAGUGGGGGAUAUUGCACAAUGGGGGAAACCCUGAUGCAGCAACGCCGCGUGAGUGAUGACGGCCUUCGGGUUGUAAAGCUCUGUCUUCAGGGACGAUAAUGACGGUACCUGAGGAGGAAGCCACGGCUAACUACGUGCCAGCCGCCGCCGUAACAC